rnacentral:tRNA from 1 species
GCCAGAGUGGUGGAAUCGGUAUACACAAGAGACUUAAAAUCUCUCGGCAGCAAUGCCUUACGGGUUCGAGUCCCGUCUCUGGUACCA